rnacentral:rRNA from 1 species
UAGGGAAUCUUCCGCAAUGGGCGAAAGCCUGACGGAGCAACGCCGCGUGAGUGAUGAAGGUCUUCGGAUCGUAAAACUCUGUUAUUAGGGAAGAACAUAUGUGUAAGUAACUGUGCACAUCUUGACGGUACCUAAUCAGAAAGCCACGGCUAACUACGUGCCAGCAGCCGCGGUAAUACGUAGGUGGCAAGCGUUAUCCGGAAUUAUUGGGCGUAAAGCGCGCGUAGGCGGUUUUUUAAGUCUGAUGUGAAAGCCCACGGCUCAACCGUGGAGGGUCAUUGGAAACUGGAAAACUUGAGUGCAGAAGAGGAAAGUGGAAUUCCAUGUGUAGCGGUGAAAUGCGCAGAGAUAUGGAGGAACACCAGUGGCGAAGGCGACUUUCUGGUCUGCAACUGACGCUGAUGUGCGAAAGCGUGGGGAUCAAACAGGAUUAGAUACCCUGGUAGUCCACGCCGUAAACGAUGAGUGCUAAGUGUUAGGGGGUUUCCGCCCCUUAGUGCUGCAGCUAACGCAUUAAGCACUCCGCCUGGGGAGUACGACCGCAAGGUUG